CCUCUCCAAGUGACUUAUUGAAAAUAGCUCUGAAACAAAAAAAUCUUCUUGUCGUCAGUGAGUGUUCAUAAAACUUUCAAACAUAUUGACAGGACUAGCUUUCCAAGCACGAACAAGUCCAGGAAUCACUAGCAACAGUCGGAAGCGUCAAGCAUUUUGUGCACUACUCACAAAAAGCGCCGAAUGUUUGGCCUUCAAGUGACAUUUCUGGAUGAACCCAUCAAAUUACCUCUAAACUUCACUGAUGAAUUAAAUUCGACCACAAAACAUCUGGAUGCACAUGUCAAACUGUUCCAUGUUGGAGUACUUGUUGCGCAACUCAGAUUUUUCCAACAAGAUGCUGCAUGGCAAAAUUCACAGCAGGUGUUUGAGCCGUCAAAAUAUUCCACGUAGGCUCUGCUGUCCACUGCCGUUGUGUGACUCUCCGGUCUCCGUUACUCUCACGUAAUCCGCUGAUGACACUCUUCAACUCAGUCGCCAAUUCCAUAUGAGAACGUCCCAUUUGGUAUCGUUUGGCCUGUCACAAUAACAUCAUAAUCGAUUUUCUCAGAAACUAUCAUGAUCAACGAUAGUGUUAUGCUUUGUUUUAAGCUUGUCCGUUAUAGGUGCAAUUAGCUUUGAAUUCUCAAGGACUUUGAACAGUUGCAUGGAAAUGUAGAACCCCCAAAAAAUACUCGGGUGAAAAAAUAUGAAGAACAAUGAUUCAGCCUUUCAUUAAAAUUAAUACUAAGCACAUUCUCUAGCAACAGUGGCACAAAUAAGGAGAUGUCUUUUAUCUCCUUGUCCAAGGCUGUCAUGGCCCUUGUCAAACACACUACACGACUAUUUUGGCGUUCAUGACGGUCACAAUAUCAGACUAGAGGAUAAAUGGCGUUCUGUGUUUUGGGACCUGGCGAGAUGUCACAUUAAAGUUCAUCGACGACCAGAACCUGCCCAAUUGCUGCGUGCUUCCGUCACGAUUCAGUCCAUCGCCACUUGUCCAUCGAGGAGGUGGGCCAAGCAGCUGUCAGUCAUGACGACGGAGGCAUUCUGUGCAGGUGCCUUUGUUCUCUGCUAAGAAAAG